rnacentral:rRNA from 1 species
AUGAUGCCGGCUCGGUCCUCUGCGGGUUCAGGCAGACCGAUGAGCGCCCUCUGGCCGAGGGAUCCCACAAGGGACCCACGGUCGGUGGGACCGCUCGUCGCUCUAAGCCGUAUUCCCGCGUGGACCAGUCAGCGGCAGUUUCCGCCGUGUCAUGUGCGUUGCGAGGCAGUUGGCUGAGUCCUUCGGGACUCGGUUCUGGCCUCCGAGGCACGUCACGAUGGAGACUGAAGAGAGUGGCGGCCCUCGCCCGAGCAGCGCAAGCCACAGGGCCGGACGGCUGCAACGACUGUGUCGGACCGGUGGGGACUGCGUGCAGUGCCCGCUGAGCGAGAUGGAGGCGUUGCGGUGCAGUCACGAUGUGCGCUGAGGUCGCUGGCGCCUAGCCGGUCCCAUCCGA